rnacentral:rRNA from 1 species
ACGCUGGCGGCAGGCUUAACACAUGCAAGUCGAGCGGAGAUGAGGUGCUUGCACCUUAUCUUAGCGGCGGCACGGGUGAGUAAUGCUUAGGAAUCUGCCUAUUAGUGGGGGACAACAUUCCGAAAGGAAUGCUAAUACCGCAUACGUCCUACGGGAGAAAGCAGGGGAUCUUCGGACCUUGCGCUAAUAGAUGAGCCUAAGUCGGAUUAGCUAGUUGGUGGGGUAAAGGCCUACCAAGGCGACGAUCUGUAGCGGGUCUGAGAGGAUGAUCCGCCACACUGGGACUGAGACACGGCCCAGACUCCUACGGGAGGCAGCAGUGGGGAAUAUUGGACAAUGGGGGGAACCCUGAUCCAGCCAUGCCGCGUGUGUGAAGAAGGCCUUAUGGUUGUAAAGCACUUUAAGCGAGGAGGAGGCUACUGAGACUAAUACUCUUGGAUAGUGGACGUUACUCGCAGAAUAAGCACCGGCUAACUCUGUGCCAGCAGCCGCGGUAAUACAGAGGGUGCGAGCGUUAAUCGGAUUUACUGGGCGUAAAGCGUGCGUAGGCGGCUUUUUAAGUCGGAUGUGAAAUCCCCGAGCUUAACUUGGGAAUUGCAUUCGAUACUGGGAAGCUAGAGUAUGGGAGAGGAUGGUAGAAUUCCCAGGUGUAGCGGGUGAAAUGCGUAGAGAUGUGGAGGAAUACCGAUGGGAARGSARCCAUCUGGCCUAAUACUGACGCUGAGGUACGAAAGCAUGGGGAGCAAACAGGAUUAGAUACCCUGGUAGUCCAUGCCGUAAACGAUGUCUACUAGCCGUUGGGGCCUUUGAGGCUUUAGUGGCGCAGCUUAACCSCGAUAAGUAGACCCCGCCUGGGGAGUACGGUCCGCAAGACUUAAAACUCAAAAUGAAUUUGACCGGGGGCCCCCGCACAAGCGGUGGGAAGCAUGGUGGUUUAAAUUCCGAUGCCAACCCGCAGAAGAACCCUUUACCUGGGCCUUGACAUUACUUUGAAACUUUCCAGAAGAUGGAAUUGGUGCCCUUCGGGAAAAUUUAGAUACAGGGUGUUUGCAUGGCUGUUGUCARCUCGUGUCGUGAGAUGUUGGGUUAAGUCCCGCAACGAGCGCAACCCUUUUCCUUACUUGCCAGCAUUUCGGAUGGGAACUUUAAGGAUACUGCCAGUGACAAACUGGAGGAAGGCGGGGACGACGUCAAGUCAUCAUGGCCCUUACGGCCAGGGCUACACACGUGCUACAAUGGUCGGUACAAAGGGUUGCUACACAGCGAUGUGAUGCUAAUCUCAAAAARCCGAUCGUAGUCCGGAUUGGAGUCUGCAACUCGACUCCAUGAAGUCGGAAUCGCUAGUAAUCGCGGAUCAGAAUGCCGCGGUGAAUACGUUCCCGGGCCUUGUACACACCGCCCGUCACACCAUGGGAGUUUGUUGCACCAGAAGUAGGUAGUCUAACCGCAAGGAGGCCGCUUACCACGGUGUGGCCGAUGACUGGGG